rnacentral:ncRNA from 1 species
UCGCGAUGGUCCGGUGAUCGCCAAUGAAAUACCACUACUUUGAUGCUCAUUACUUAUUCGGUAAAGCGAAAAAAUUGUGGCCAAUUCGGCGGCGUUUAUGUCGCUGUUGGUCAUUGUUUUCAUGUUGGAUUGAAGCUUUGUUUACAGCCGUCGCUUUGUGUAAACAUUUGGCGCAUUGUUGUACUGGGUUAUCCCAGGGGGGGAUGUGGUCACAAUGGAUGAUCGGCGAUAGGCUUGAAGUGAUUCGCUCCGGAAACAGUGUCAGACGGGGAGUUUGACUGGGGCGGUACAUCUGUUAAACGAUAACGCAGGUGUCCUAAGGUAAGCUCAGCGAGGACAGAAACCUCGCCUAGAGUAAACGGGCACAAGCUUACUUGAUUUUGAUUUCCUUUACGAAUAGAAACCCGCGAAAGCGUGGGCCUAUCCGAUCCUUUUGAUUGUGUAGAUUUCAUGCUAGACGGCGUCAGAAAAAGUUACCCCCGGGGGAUUAACUGGCUUGUGGCAACCCAAGCGUCCCUUAGCGAACGGUUGCUUUUUUGAUCCUUUCGAUGGCCGGCUCUUCCUAAUCAUUUGCGAAACCAAAAAUUCCCCCAAGCGUUGGGAUUGGUUCCCCCCCCAAUAGGGAAACGUGAACUGGGGUUUAAAACCGUCUGGAGAACAGGGUUAAUUUUUACCCCACUGAUGAAAAGUCGUUGCAAAAUAAUCUGGUCCCUACAAAGGGAACCCCCGGGAUCCAAACUUUUGGGUUAUGGGGCUCUGGGCUGAAAGGGCCGGGGGGCUGGUAAGCUACAUCUGGAUAAUUAUAGAACGAAGCCCCCUCAAUAUCAAAAAUCUUCUUU